UGAUGUCUAAGCCAUGCGAGUCAUUGUAGCAUACAAGGCAUACGGCUCAGUAACGCGUAGUCAACCUAACCUAUGGACGGGAAUAACCUCGGGAAACUGAGAAUAAUGCCCGAUAGAACACUAUACCUGGAAUGGUUUGUGUUCCAAAUGAUUUAUCGCCAUAGGAUGGGACUGCGGCCUAUCAGUUUGUUGGUGAGGUAAUGGCCCACCAAGACUAUUACAGGUACGGGCUCUGAGAGGAGUAGCCCGGAGAUGGGUACUGAGACACGGACCCAGGCCCUAUGGGGCGCAGCAGGCGAGAAAACUUUGCAAUGUGCGAAAGCACGACAAGGUUAAUCCGAGUGAUUUGUGCUAAACGAAUCUUUUGUUAGUCCUAGAAACACUAACGAAUAAGGGGUGGGCAAGUUCUGGUGUCAGCCGCCGCGGUAAAACCAGCACCUCAAGUGGUCAGGAUGAUUAUUGGGCCUAAAGCAUCCGUAGCCGGCUCUGUAAGUUUUCGGUUAAAUCUGUACGCUUAACGUACAGGCUGCCGGGAAUACUGCAAAGCUAGGGAGUGGGAGAGGUAGACGGUACUCGGUAGGAAGUGGUAAAAUGCUUUGAUCUAUCGAUGACCACCUGUGGCGAACGCGGUCUACCAGAACACGUCCGACGGUGAGGGAUGAAAGCUGGGGGAGCAACCGGGAUUAGAUACCCAGGUAGUUCCAGCUGGUAACCUAUGCCAACUUCAGUGAUGCAUUUGGGCUUGGUGGACCCAAUGCAAGUGGCUUGCCAAGGGUCAGC
rnacentral:rRNA from 1 species